CCACAAAGGUCGGAUUGAAUUGCGAGACACUCUCGGUUCACAGUGAUUCAGAGCAAGUGCUUUUAGCUGGGACAACAUUUCCAAAUCCUCGUAUUUCCCAAAAACUGAUUUUCCCUCAGCAACCUCGCCACCCUUAGGCAAACACACCUCAUCAUUUUUCUCUGCCUUCACACCCCGCAACACAGGCAUCUUUCUCUUACAAAACCCAACAACCUUACUAAUCUCUCUUAAAUUCAAUCCUGAAAAUAUAAAAUCUGUCAAUCACCAAAUGUGCCAACAACAGUACAAUGCACACAUUUAUAAUAACAAGUGCAAUCAAUAAUGAAAACAAUAACCCAAAUAGCAAUAUUUGUAAAAAAAAAAAAAAAAAAAAAACUUUGUACGGACAAGUUUCACACACUUCAUUCAAAUAUAAAUCCCGCCCACAAUAACAUUGUAGUUGAUACCAGCUUUUGGGCUUUUUCAUGCGUACAAACAUUGAAGUACAAACUCAAGAAAUGAUGCAAUUAC
rnacentral:lncRNA from 1 species